rnacentral:rRNA from 1 species
UGAGUACGAGCUGCUACGGCAGCGAAGUGGGUGACGUCAAGCUUCCAAGAAAAGCCCUAUACCCGUUAAGGCAUGAUGGCCUGUACCCGAAACCGACACAGGUGGGGUGGUAGAGAAUACCGAGGGGCGCGAGGUAACUCUCUCUAAGGAACUCGGCAAAAUGGCCCCGUACUUCGGGAGAAGGGGUGCCACCGCAAGGUGGUCGCAGUGAAGAGGCCCAGGCGACUGUUUACCAAAAACACAGGUCUCCGCUAAGUCGCAAGACGAUGUAUGGGGGCUGACGCCUGCCCAGUGCCGGAAGGUUAAGGAAGCUGGUCAGCGUAAGCGAAGCUGGCGACUGAAGCCCCGGUGAACGGCGGCCGUAACUAUAACGGUCCUAAGGUAGCGAAAUUCCUUGUCGGGUAAGUUCCGACCCGCACGAAAGGCGUAACGAUCUGGGCGCUGUCUCGGAGAGAGGCUCGGCGAAAUAGAAUUGUCUGUGAAGAUGCGGACUACGUGCACCCGGACAGAAAGACCCUAUGAAGCUUUACUGUAGCUUGGUAUUGUGCCCGGGCUCUGAAUGCGCAGGAUAGGUGGGAGGCUUUGAUCCAUUGCUUGUGGGUGAUGGUGAGCCAACGGUGAGAUACCACUCUUUCAGAGCUAGGGUUCUAACGGUCACCCGUCAUCCGGGGACCGGACAGUAUCAGGUGGGCAGUUUGACUGGGGCGGUCGCCUCCUAAAAGGUAACGGAGGCGCGCAAAGGUUUGCUCAGGCUGGUUGGAAAUCAGCCGACGAGUGUAAAAGCAGAAGCAAGCUUGACUGUGAGACCUACAAGUCGAACAGGGACGAAAGUCGGCUUUAGUGAUCCGACGGUUCUGAGUGGAAGGGCCGUCGCUCAACGGAUAAAAGUUACUCUAGGGAUAACAGGCUGAUCUCCCCCAAGAGUUCACAUCGACGGGGAGGUUUGGCACCUCGAUGUCGGCUCAUCGCAACCUGGGGCUGAAGUCGGUCCCAAGGGUUGGGCUGUUCGCCCAUUAAAGCGGUACGCGAGCUGGGUUCAGAACGUCGCGAGACAGUUCGGUCCAUAUCCGGUGCAUGCGCAGGAAUAUUGAGAGGAUUUCUCCCUAGUACGAGAGGACCGGGAGGAACGCACCUCUGGUGUGCCAGUUAUCGUGCCAACGGUAAACGCUGGGUAGCCAUGUGCGGAGAGGAUAACCGCUGAAAGCAUCUAAGUGGGAAGCCCACCUCAAGAUGAGUAUUCCCAUGGCGUUAGCCAGUAAGGUCACGGGAAGAACACCCGUUGAUAGGCUCUACGUGGAAGCCGGGUAACCGGUGAAGCGGAGGAGUACUAAUAGACCGAGGGCUUGAC